rnacentral:rRNA from 1 species
GCUAACACAUGCAAGUCGAGGGGUAACAGGGAGAAGCUUGCUUUUCCGCUGACGACCGGCGCACGGGUGCGUAACGCGUAUACAAUCUGCCUUAUACUGGGGUAUAGCCUUUAGAAAUGAAGAUUAAUCCCCCAUAGUCUCUUAGAGUGGCAUCAUUUUAGGAGUAAAGGUUACGGUAUAAGAUGAGUAUGCGUUCUAUUAGUUUGUUGGUGAGGUAACGGCUCACCAAGGCUACGAUAGAUAGGGGCCCUGAGAGGGGGAUCCCCCACACUGGUACUGAGACACGGACCAGACUCCUACGGGAGGCAGCAGUGAGGAAUAUUGGACAAUGGAGGCAACUCUGAUCCAGCCAUGCCGCGUGCAGGAAGACUGCCCUAUGGGUUGUAAACUGCUUUUAUAUAGGAAGAAACCUACUUACGUGUAAGUAGCUGACGGUACUAUAAGAAUAAGGAUCGGCUAACUGCCGUGCCAGCCGCCGCGGUAAUA